UGACUGCUGCGAGGAAGCGGCGGCGGCCCCGGCCCAGCCCCGAGCCUGUGGAAGCCCCGGCGCGUCCCCCCCCGCAGCCAUGGCAGGGGUCGUGGUGAGCGGAGCCCAAGUCUGCAGCUACCGGCGGAGUCCGGCGCAGGGCCCGGUGGGCCCAGGAGUGUGUCGUGCUCCGGUUGAUCUUGGGCUCCCUGCUCUCCGGCUUGAUGUGUUGAAGAGUCUGCAAGAAUGUCUGAGACGUCCAUAGCCUAUCUGGUGAUGAGCUUUGUGGGAAGCUAACUGAACAUUUUGGUGGGAUAUUGAGCAGGGCACCAGUAAUAAGAAUGAUUGACUGUGACCAACCUGUCACAGAUUUGAGAUGGAGAAUUAGGCAGUGGAAACAUCUACAUCUGUUUUUUAAUUCCACGUGUUGUUCUGUGGCUGGUAUAGAAAAAUCUGAGAAAUCACUGUUACUGAUGUGCCUUACACCCAAAGAGCUGAGGAGUCUUGGGAAAAGCAUGCUUGCUCUCAUCUCUCAAUAAUGACAUCUCUGGAUAUGUACUUGAAAGCUCAUACUCAUUCUGAGGGUAUUUGAGAUGGAUGCAAAAGGAAGAAUACUGAAUUAUGUACAUUUUACUGUGUUCUAGGUAAAUGAUUUUGAACUGAAA
rnacentral:lncRNA from 1 species